rnacentral:rRNA from 1 species
UACGUAGGGGCCGAGCGUUGUCCGGAAUCAUUGGGCGUAAAGCGCUUGUAGGCGGCCUGUCAAGUCGCGUGUGAAAUCCCUUGGCUUAACCAAGGAAGUGCGCGCGAAACUGGCGGGCUUGAGUGCCGGAGAGGGUCGCGGAAUUCCCGGUGUAGAGGUGAAAUUCGUAGAUAUCGGGAGGAACACCAGUGGCGAAGGCGGCGACCUGGACGGACACUGACGCUGAGACGCGAAAGCGUGGGGAGCAAACAGGAUUGA